rnacentral:rRNA from 1 species
GACGAACGCUGGCGGCGUGCUUAGCACAUGCAAGUCGAACGGAAAGGCCCUGCUUUUGUGGGGUGCUCGAGUGGCGAACGGGUGAGUAACACGUGAGUAACCUGCCCUUGACUUUGGGAUAACUUCAGGAAACUGGGGCUAAUACCGGAUAGGAGCUCCUGCUGCAUGGUGGGGGUUGGAAAGUUUCGGCGGUUGGGGAUGGACUCGCGGCUUAUCAGCUUGUUGGUGGGGUAGUGGCUUACCAAGGCUUUGACGGGUAGCCGGCCUGAGAGGGUGACCGGCCACAUUGGGACUGAGAUACGGCCCAGACUCCUACGGGAGGCAGCAGUGGGGAAUAUUGCACAAUGGGCGGAAGCCUGAAGCAGCAACGCCGCGUGCGGGAUGACGGCCUUCGGGUUGUAAACCGCUUUCGCCUGUGACGAAGCGUGAGUGACGGUAAUGGGUAAAGAAGCACCGGCUAACUACGUG